rnacentral:rRNA from 1 species
CAAUAGCGUAUAUUAAAGUUGUUGCAGUUAAAAAGCUCGUAGUUGGAUUUCGGGGUGGCCUGGCUGGUCCGCCGCAAGGUGAGUACUGGUCAGCCGCCCUUCCUCUCGAAAGCCCCGACUGCUCUUUACUGCAGUGGUCGGGUAGUUCGGGACGUUUACUUUGAAAAAAUUAGAGUGUUCAAGGCAGGCUAUCGCCUGAAUACAUUAGCAUGGAAUAAUGGAAGAGGACCUCGGUCCUAUUUUGUUGGUUUCUAGGGCCGAAGUAAUGAUUAAGAGGGACAGUCGGGGGCAUUCGUAUUUAAUUGUCAGAGGUGAAAUUCUUGGAUUUAUGAAAGACGAACUAGUGCGAAAGCAUUUGCCAAGGAUGUUUUCAUUAA